UACAAUGCUGGCAACAGCGAUAAGGGAACCUCGAGUGCCAGGUUACAAAUCUGGCUGUCGUGAUGCCUAAAAAGCAUUGCAUAGCAAGGGCCGGGCAAGACCGGUGCCAGCCGCCGCGGUAACACCGGCGGCUCGAGUGGUAACCGUUAUUAUUGGGUCUAAAGGGUCUGUAGCCGGCCGGAUAAGUCUCUUGGGAAAUCUGGCAGCUCAACUGUCAGGCUUUCAGGAGAUACUGUCUGGCUCGAGGCCGGGAGAGGUGAGAGGUACUUCAGGGGUAGGGGUGAAAUCUUGUAAUCCUUGAAGGACCACCAGUGGCGAAGGCGUCUCACCAGAACGGACCUGACGGCAAGGGACGAAAGCUAGGGGCACGAACCGGAUUAGAUACCCGGGUAGUCCUAGCCGUAAACGAUACUCGCUAGGUGUCGGCCACGGUGCGACCGUUGUCGGUGCCGUAGGGAAGCCGUGAAGCGAGC
rnacentral:rRNA from 1 species